rnacentral:lncRNA from 1 species
CUCUCUAAACUGAUCUGCAUUUCUUCAUCUUCCAUUCCGUCUCUCUAAACCUAAAUCACCUUCAUCCCUCCACCACACCUCCACCAUCAACACAACCGUCGCCACUGCACCUCCACCGUCACCACCACCACUACACAGUCAACGAAGUCCAACAAAUUCUAGAAGUUGCGGAGUUGCAGGUUGUUCAUGGUUGCGGGUCAUUGUUCCUCAACACGACCGAGUAACACUCCAAAUUACAACGAGAUCGGCAACUUUUCAUGGCGUCAAUCCGUCAUCUUGCUAGAACAAUUCAGUCCUACCGUACAAUCGCAUUUUGCAAAACCCUAACCCCUUCGAUUCCGCCUCUGCGCCGCCGCACUUACUGCUGCGAUCAGUAACGUGAUAUCUCCUGGAUUCACACCUAGUAGGUUCUGAAAUUGACUCGAUCCAUGAUGGGUUCAGAGAGUUCUGUGUAUUUUAUGUCGGAUCUAGACAAUGAUUUUGGUGGGGAUGGUGGUGCAGUGGUGGGAACGAUGGUGGUGAUAGUGGUGGGGAUGGUGGUGCGGUGGUGAGGAUGAUGGUGGUUAUGAUGGUGGUGCGGUGGGGAUAGUUGUGCGGUGGUGGGCUUGUGGUAGAGGGUGGUAGUGACAGGAUGUGUAGAGAGUGAGGAAGAAACAGAGAGAAAAUGCAGUGUGUGAAUUAUGUGAAAUAGUGAAAUACUUUUAUAUUUUUUUAGGGUAAUCACUGUGUUAACAAAUUACCAAAUUACCCUUGUAGUUAACAAGCUUGGUGGAUGGAAUUAGAAAUUUGGACUCAAAUGGU